rnacentral:misc_RNA from 1 species
AGCAGCCGCGGUAAUUCCAGCUCCAAUAGCGUAUAUUAAAGUUGUUGCAGUUAAAAAGCUCGUAGUUGAACUUCGGGGUUUACUCAUUGGUCAGGCUUAAUUGUCUGCACUGGUGAGAUGAAUCUCUACCUUCUGAGGAACUUUCAUGCCAUUUAUUUGGUGUGAUUGGAAAUCAGGACUGUUACUUUGAAAAAAUUAGAGUGUUUAAAGCAGGCUAACGUCUGAAUACAUUAGCAUGGAAUAAUGAAAUAGGACGGAUUGAUUCUAUUUCGUUGGUUUCUAGGGUCACCGUAAUGAUUAAUAGGGAUAGUUGGGGGCAUUAGUAUUCAAUUGUCAGAGGUGAAAUUCUUGGAUUUAUUGAAGACUAACUACUGCGAAAGCAUUUGCCAAGGAUGUUUUCAUUAAUCAAGAACGAAAGUUAGGGGAUCGAAGACGAUCAGAUACCGUCGUAGUCUUAACCAUAAACUAUGCCGACUAGGGAUCGGACGAAGUUAAUUAAUAA